AAACCGAGAGAAGAAAGAAGAGUCCAGAAAAAACAAGAAGGAAAGAGAGAAGAAUUUAGAGGGGCUAGCAGAGGACGUGAGACAGGGAGGGUGGUGUGCCGACCUCUUUGAUCUCUUCAUAGCUGCCAUGGUUUGUACUGGGAGGAUUUGUGAGUUGUGUUUACAAGGUUAAGGUUCAUUACAUGAUCGUACGAGUCAAAUUGGGAGUUAGGAAGAGAUGGCCUGUAUUGCUCUUGAGCAUGUACAUGGAAGCUUUGAUGGACAGAGCUUAAAGUUGAAUUCGAAGGUUCAUUUGCCUCGAGUGACCAGUUGGUCGGUGGUUUCUACGAUUACGCGAGGGACGUGGAAGUAAUAGCAUGAUAGCUGAUUAUCCGGUGAGUGAAUAGAAAACUUAUUCGAUACUUACAACAUUGCACAUGCUUUCUACGAGAUGUCAGCUUGGUACUAUUGUGAUCUUUGUAUAUUCAUUGUCAUUACCGUUCAUUUGACUUAUGAUGAUGCCAUUGGUUCAUAUAUUUUCUUCUGGGACAA